rnacentral:lncRNA from 1 species
CGGGAAUCCUCACAGGAGGCUCAAAGCUGUGAAGACCAUGCCAGUUCCAGGCCGCAGCAUGGCUGCCGUGGGGAUCUAGCCAUAACAUCUCCUGGGAUGAAUCUAUCUUCAAGAGGAAAGAAAAAAAGCUUUGGGCAAAUAGAUGACUCUGCAUAAUGUGAAUGGGCCUCAUCCAGUCAGUUAAAGGUCCUAAAAAAAAAGACUGACCUUUCAGAAGAGGAAAUUCUUUUAGCAGACGGCCUUGGGACACAAACUGCAGCGUCAGCUCUUCCUUGAGUCUCCGGCAUGCCCACCUGUCCCACAGAUUUUGGACUUGCCAACUCAACGGACUCCUGAAUCUCGAGUUCAUCCUCCAGCCAGUCUGUGCCAGCCUCCGCUGCCCUUCUCAAGCAGAAGAGCUCUAUGAACUGAGUGAGGUCGCCGGUGCGGAGAACGCCUUACAGCUGCAGCCUGCUGAACACUUCUUAAAGAAAGUUUCCACAGAGCGAGUCGUUUCACAAGGAUGGCUUCACUUGGUGUCUCAUGUGAGGUUGCAGUUGGAUGCCAACAUCAGAAGGCUGGAGCUGCAAAAUCUGAUUGCAAGAUGGCUGACACACACGAUUGGCAGGUGUUUGCUGGUUAUCAGGCAGAGGUCUCAGUUCCUGCACAUGAACUUUUCCACCGGGCUGCUGAAGUGUCCAUAUAGCAUGCAGCUGGAUUACAGGGCUGCUGGAGUGUCCAUAUAGCAUGCAGCUGGAUUACAGGGCUGCUGGAGUGUCCAUAUAGCAUGCAGCUGGAUUACAG